rnacentral:rRNA from 1 species
UUUUCCUACGGGACGCAGCAGUCGGGAAUAUUGCGCAAUGGAGGAAACUCUGACGCAGUGACGCCGCGUAUAGGAAGAAGGUUUUCGGAUUGUAAACUAUUGUCGUGAGGGAAGAGAUUGACAGUACCUCAGGAGGAAGCUCCGGCUAACUAUGUGCCAGCAGCCGCGGUAAUACAUAGGGAGCGAGCGUUAUCCGGAUUUAUUGGGUGUAAAGGGUGCGUAGACGGGAAAUUAAGUUAGUUGUGAAAUCCCUCGGCUUAACUGAGGAACUGCAACUAAAACUGGUUUUCUCGAGUACUGGAGAG